rnacentral:rRNA from 1 species
UUUUGACCUCGGAUCAGGUAGGGAUACCCGCUGAACUUAAGCAUAUCAAUAG